UACGUAGGGGGCAAGCGUUGUCCGGAAUCAUUGGGCGUAAAGAGCGUGUAGGCGGCUUGGUAAGUCCGCUGUGAAAGUCCAGGGCUCAACCCUGGAAAGCCGGUGGAGACUGUCAAGCUUGAGUCCGGAAGAGGCGAGUGGAAUUCCUGGUGUAGCGGUGAAAUGCGCAGAUAUCAGGAGGAACACCAAUGGCGAAGGCAGCUCGCUGGGACGGUACUGACGCUGAGACGCGAAAGCGUGGGGAGCAAACAGG
rnacentral:rRNA from 1 species